AUGCUUUUAUUACUUAUAUUGUUUAUAGCAGAAAUGCUGCUCCCAGUACACCCCCAUGUAGGAAAUGUGGUGGCUGACAAAAGUCAGUGUCUACCUGGGCAGGAGCACCCAUGUGCAAGCCUGCACAUGCAGGCACAGCUCUGCGCUGCUAGGGUUGAUAUUUGGGAGCUGAGUCUGUCUUGUUUAUUUUCUCAACAGGCAGCAAACUGUAAGGAAUGUGUAAGGGACUACGAGAACGUUGCCCAUUCCUUGUGUUUCUACGUGAAAUGCAUUUCUAGCCACACCCAUAAAGAACUUGUCUCUCCUGACAGUACACAGUGGGGCAUUUUCAGGAUCUCUGAGCAAGGAUCUCUACUUGCACAUGAAGACCCUCAAGUCUUGCUUGCACAUGAAGUUUUAUGCCUUUUGAACUGGUUUGGCUGUGCUGUGUGGACGGCUCGUUUACCUCUACAGGAGAAGGAUGAACCUCCAAGAGAACCCAGCAGAAUACCUUUCAAAUAG
rnacentral:lncRNA from 1 species